rnacentral:rRNA from 1 species
GACGAACGCUGGCGGCGUGCCUAAUACAUGCAAGUUGAGCGCUGAAGGUUGGUACUUGUACCGACUGGAUGAGCAGCGAACGGGUGAGUAACGCGUGGGGAAUCUGCCUUUGAGCGGGGGACAACAUUUGGAAACGAAUGCUAAUACCGCAUAAAAACUUUAAACACAAGUUUUAAGUUUGAAAGAUGCAAUUGCAUCACUCAAAGAUGAUCCCGCGUUGUAUUAGCUAGUUGGUGAGGUAAAGGCCCACCAAGGCGAUGAUACAUAGCCGACCUGAGAGGGUGAUCGGCCCCAUUGGGACUGAGACACGGCCCAAACUCCUACGGGAGGCAGCAGUAGGGAAUCUUCGGCAAUGGACGAAAGUCUGACCGAGCAACGCCGCGUGAGUGAAGAAGGUUUUCGGAUCGUAAAACUCUGUUGGUAGAGAAGAACGUUGGUGAGAGUGGAAAGCUCAUCAAGUGACGGUAACUACCCAGAAAGGGACGGCUAACUACGUG